GGUGUUUACUGUCGAACUGAACACUCUACCGUUUACUGUCUGGUGGUGCUCUUCACCGAGUGUCACCAGUGGUCGGUACGUUUACUUUGAAAAAAUUAGAGUGCUCAAAGCGGUUUUUACACGACCGAAUACUGUUGCAUGGAAUAAUGAAAUAGGACUUGGUCUAUUUGUGUCUCGGAACCCAAGGUAAUGAUUAGAGGGACAGACGGGGGCAUUAGUAUUGCGACGCUAGAGGUGAAAUUCUUGGACCGUCGCAAGACUAACUAAAGCGAAAGCAUUUGCCAAGAAUGUUUUCAUUAAUCAAGAACGAAAGUAGAGGUUCGAAGGCGAUCAGAUACCGCCCUAGUUCUAACCAUAAACGAUGCCAACCAGCAAUCAGCCUGUGUUCUCUUGAUGACACGGCUAGCGGCUUCCGGGAAACCAAAGUCUUUCGGUUCCAGGGGAAGUAUGGUUGCAAAGCUGAAACUUAAAGGAAUUGACGGAAGGGCACCACCAGGAGUGGAGCCUGCGGCUUAAUUUGACUCAACACGGGGAAACUCACCCGGCCCGGACACUGUGAGGAUUGACAGGUUGAAGCCCUUUCUUGAUUCAGUGGGUGGUGGUGCAUGGCCGUUCUUAGUUGGUGGAGUGAUUUGUCUGGUUAAUUCCGAUAACGAACGAGACUCUAGCCUACUAAUUAGACCGUGGCGUCCUCGUGCCGCCACGGCGCUUCCUAGAGGGACAGACGG
rnacentral:rRNA from 1 species